rnacentral:rRNA from 1 species
UACGUAGGGACCAAGCGUUGUUCGGAUUUACUGGGCGUAAAGGGCGCGUAGGCGGCAAAUUAAGUCAGCUGUGAAAUCUCCGAGCUUAACUCGGAAUUGUCAGCUGAUACUGAUGUGCUAGAGUGCGGAAGGGGCAAUCGGAAUUCUUGGUGUAGCGGUGAAAUGCGUAGAUAUCAAGAGGAACACCUGAGGUGAAGACGGGUUGCUGGGCCGACACUGACGCUGAGUGCGCGAAAGCCAGGGGAGCAAACGGG